ACGAGUUUGAUCCUGGCUCAGGAUGAACGCUAGCGGCAGGCUUAAUACAUGACAAGUCAAGGGGGUANCAAUACUACCGGCGCACGGGUGAGUAACACGUACAUAACAUACCAUAUACGUGGGGUAUAGCCUUUGGGAAACUGAAGGUAAUCCCCCCAUAACAUUGCGAGAGGGCAUCUGAUUGCAAUUAAAGUUUCGACGGUAUAUGAUUGAUGUGCGUUUGAUUAGCUUGUUGGUAGGGUAACGGCCUACCAAGGCGACGAUCAAUAGCUGGCGUGAGAGCGCGACCAGCCACACUGGAACUGAGACACGGUCCAGACUCCUACGGGAGGCAGCAGUAGGGAAUAUUGGACAAUGGGCGAAAGCCUGAUCCAGCCAUGCCGCGUGAUAGAUGAAGGCCCUCUGGGUUGUAAAUAUCUUUUAUCUGGGAAGAAACAAUCUUAUUCUUAAGAUCUUGACGGUACCAGAGGAAUAAGCACCGGCUAACUCCGUG
rnacentral:rRNA from 1 species